CGAAACUGUACAUCAUCUUUC
rnacentral:miRNA from 1 species